AUUGAACGCUGGCGGCAGGCUUAACACAUGCAAGUCGGACGAGUGGCGAACGGGUGAGUAAUGUAUCGGAACGUGCCUGGUGGUGGGGGAUAACUACCCGAAAGGACAGCUAAUACCGCAUAAUAUCCGAGCGGCCGAGAGGUGAUUAGCUGGUUGGUGGGGUAACGGCUCACCAAGGCGACGAUCACUAGCGGGUCUGAGAGGAUGACCAGCCAAACUGGAAAUGAGACACGGGCCAGACUCCUACGGUAGGCAGGAGUGGGGAAUGUUGGACAAUGGGCGCAAGCCUGAUGCAGCCAUGCCGCGUGUAUGAAGAAGGCCUUCGGGUUGUAAAGGACUUUUGGCAGGGAGGCGUUACCUGAAGAAUAAGCACCGGCUAACUCCGUGCCAGCAGCCGCGGUAAUAC
rnacentral:rRNA from 1 species